AACGAACGCUGGCGGCAGGCCUAACACAUGCAAGUCGAACGCACCGCAAGGUGAGUGGCGCACGGGUGAGUAACACGUGGGAAUGUAUCCUUUGGUUCGGAAUAACGUCUGGAAACGGACGCUAAUACCGGAUGAGCCCUUAGGGGGAAAGAUUUAUCGCCGAAGGAGCAGCCCGCGUCUGAUUAGGUAGUUGGUGGGGUAAAGGCCUACCAAGCCGACGAUCAGUAGCUGGUCUGAGAGGAUGAUCAGCCACACUGGGACUGAGACACGGCCCAGACUCCUACGGGGGGCAGCAGUGGGGAAUAUUGGACAAUGGGCGCAAGCCUGAUCCAGCCAUGCCGCGUGAGUGAUGAAGGCCUUCGGGUUGUAAAGCUCUUUCGCACACGACGAUGAUGACGGUAGUGUGAGAAGAAGCCCCGGCUAACUUCGUGCCAGCCGCCGCCGUAAAAC
rnacentral:rRNA from 1 species